AUCGAAGAUCCCAGCUUUUCAUAAGCUCCCACACGAAUUGCUUGAUUCACUAGCGAAAAGCGAUUGGGUCUAGACCCGAGAGUGAGACGAUUGGGUCUGUAGCUCAGUUGGUUAGAGCGCACCCCUGAUAAGGGUGAGGUCGGCAGUUCGAAUCUGCCCAGACCCACCAAUUGUCAAGGGGCGUGGCCGGUCAUGACCUCGAGAGAGGGUAGAGGGGCCAUAGCUCAGCUGGGAGAGCGCCUGCUUUGCACGCAGGAGGUCAGGAGUUCGAUCCUCCUUGGCUCCACCAACCACUCAUCAAUCGCUGAAAGCUCAGAAACGAGCAUUUCCUGAAGGCAACGGCCCCGGUGAAUGCUGAUUUCUGGUCUUUGCGCCAGAUUCGUUCUUUAAAAAUUCGGGUAUGUGAUAGAAGUAGACUGAUCGAUUGUUUCACUGCAAUCGAUGAGGUCAAGGUAAAUUUGCGAGUUCAAGCGCGAAUUUUCGGCGAAUGUCGUCUUCACCCCAUCCAGGCAAGGCCGCGAGGCCGCAGAUUGCUUGGGGUUAUAU
rnacentral:tRNA from 1 species